UGAAGGCUCAGCAGGCGAACGUUUUCGUCUGCACGCAUUCAGGGGCGGGACUUCCAUAGGCUUUAUGUGGUGGCCGGUUUUCGUGUUUUUUCACCUUUUUCAGGGCAUUGAGUCCUGAGUCGGGACCGAAGAGAAUGGAACAGGCGAGGAGAGGCGUUGGCCCCGGUGCCCAGAGGCGGCUGUGAGGCCCCCUGAGCCCGUAGUUGACGGCGGUGCCCUCGUUCCCGCCCCGCCCGCCAGGUGUUCCAGCUCCGUUCUUUCCACCGGCCGGUGACCCCGGUGACCGAAGCUGCGCCGAUGAGGCCGGCUUAGCAACCACAAGGAGCAGGUUUCAGAAGAUAAUGAGUUAAAUUUUGGAUGUGUGACCCUAAGAUACCUCAAGGUGGAGACGGCACGUAGGAGCAUAUCUGGCAUAGGAGCUACUCUGGCCUGUGUCUGUAGAAAAGGAUACCUGGAUGUGAUGAAUUGCUGGCCUGGAUGGAGAUGAAGGUGUAAGGUCGUGUAGACUGAGCCCUGCAGGUCAGCUCUGCUCCUAGAGGAGAAUCCCUGUGGGACAAAGAAAUAGCCAGGUUCCCAUGGCAUUUGCAGAAAUGCUUAUGGACCUGUACAGGUGAAUGGAGGAUGUGCCAGACCUUCAACCACCCCAGUUAUCACCCUGAUGGUUCUGCCACUCCCAUAUGAAGAAUGCUGGUGGCCUGAGAUUGUUCACCCAUCCUUCUCCCUUCCUUGGGUCUGAAGUCCCUGUGGUUUCACCAAGGCCUAGGGUCUUGAACUCAGUCCCAGAUUAUAUGGAGCUGUUCCCAUUUCCAACAACUGAUGGAGUAAGAUGUGGAAGGAUGUCGUGGGCACAGGAUACAGAAUGUCCAGACGA